rnacentral:misc_RNA from 1 species
AAGUCGUAACAAGGUUUCCGUAGGUGAACCUGCGGAAGGAUCAUUACAGAGUCCCGGCCCUCUGGGGUGACCUCCCACCCGUGUGUAUCUAAUCAAUUGUUGCUUGGCGGCCGCGAGCGUGCCUCGCCCUGGGAGCCUCUCCCGGUGUGCCCGCCAGAGGAAACCCAAACUCUGAAUAUUAGUGUCGUCUGAGUACUAUAUAAAUCGUUAAAA